GGCCUGUUAGCUCAGCUGGUUAGAGCGCCGUGCUAAUAACGCGGAGGUCAUGAGUUCGAUCUUCUUACAGGCCA
rnacentral:tRNA from 1 species